rnacentral:rRNA from 1 species
GACAGAGGGUGCAAACGUUGCUCGGAAUCACUGGGCGUAAAGCGCACGUAGGCGGAUCUUUAAGUCAGGGGUGAAAUCCCAAGGCUCAACCUUGGAACUGCCUUUGAUACUGGGGAUCUCGAGUCCGGAAGAGGUUGGUGGAACUGCGAGUGUAGAGGUGAAAUUCGUAGAUAUUCGCAAGAACACCAGUGGCGAAGGCGGCCAACUGGUCCGGUACUGACGCUGAGGUGCGAAAGCGUGGGGAGCAAACAGGG